rnacentral:rRNA from 1 species
AGUGAACGCUGGCGGUAGGCCUAACACAUGCAAGUCGAACGGCAGCACAGUAAGAGCUUGCUCUUACGGGUGGCGAGUGGCGGACGGGUGAGGAAUACAUCGGAAUCUACUUUUUCGUGGGGGAUAACGUAGGGAAACUUACGCUAAUACCGCAUACGACCUACGGGUGAAAGCAGGGGAUCUUCGGACCUUGCGCGAUUGAAUGAGCCGAUGUCGGAUUAGCUAGUUGGCGGGGUAAAGGCCCACCAAGGCGACGAUCCGUAGCUGGUCUGAGGGGAUGAUCAGCCACACUGGAACUGAGAUACGGUCCAGACUCCUACGGGAGGCAGCAGUGGGGAAUAUUGGACAAUGGGCGCAAGCCUGAUCCAGCCAUACCGCGUGGGUGAAGAAGGCCUUCGGGUUGUAAAGCCCUUUUGUUGGGAAAGAAAAGCAGCAGGUUAAUACCCCGCUGUUCUGACGGUACCCAAAGAAUAAGCACCGGCUAACUUCGUG